GAAUGAGUUUUCACCCAAAAAGUUUGAGGUUAUGCUCUUCAAACCGCCCAAGGAUGGGGCCGCGACCGAUCAGGUUGUUGGUGAGGUAAUGGCUCACCAAGCCUUUUACCGGUGCGGGCCGUGGGAGCGGGAGCCCGGAGAUGGGCACUGAGACAAGGGCCCAGGCCCUACGGGGCGCAGCAGUCGCGAAAACUUUGCAAUAAGCGAAAGCUUGACAGGGCUAUCCCGAGUGCCAUCCGCUGAGGAAGGCUUUUACCCAGUCUAGAACGCUGGGGGAAUAAGGAGAGGGCAAGUCUGGUGUCAGCCGCCGCGGUAAUACCAGCUCUCCGAGUGGUGUGGAUGUUUAUUGGGCCUAAAGCAUCCGUAGCUGGCUAGGUUAGUCCCCUGUUAAAUCCACCGAAUUAAUCGUUGGAUUGCGGGGGAUACUGCUUGGCUAGGGGACGAGAGAGGCAGACGGUAUUUCCGGGGUAGGGGUGAAAUCCUAUAAUCCCGGGAAGACCACCAGUGGCGAAGGCUGUCUGCUAGAACGCGCCCGACGGUGAGGGAUGAAAGCUGGGGGAGCGAACCGGAUUAGAUACCCGGGUAGUCCCAGCUGUAAACGAUGCAGACUAGGUGUUUGGACGGCCACGUGCCGUUCUAGUGCCGCAGGGAAGCUGUUAAGUCUGCCGCCUGGGGAGUACGAUCGCAAGAUUGAAACUUAAAGGAAUUGGCGGGGGAGCACCACAAGGGGUGAAGCUUGCGGUUUAAUUGGAUUCAACGCCGGA
rnacentral:rRNA from 1 species